rnacentral:ncRNA from 1 species
UAAAAAGCGAUGAGGAGAAGAGUAUUAUAACAUAAGCCUUCAGAGAAGAGCUACCAUAGGCUGCGAGUAGCUCGAGGAUAUGUUAUAAGAAGUGCAUCUCCGAGCUGUAUCCCUGAAAUUUUAGUAGGGGGUUACCGGCCUUUGCCGUUAUCUAAAAUGAGUGGAGUUUAAAACUCAAGCAGAGUGGAACCACGGGAGUCCCCCCCUCGUCUCUGAG